AAUGAUGCACAACUCAUUAUUAGAAUGUGCGUGAAAACUGACUCAAACAUAACAAAUUCAUUCUUUACUAUGAUUGUGAACACUCAUAAUUAAAUUAGGGUUUUUUUAAAUUACCUUCUUCUUGACAGGGCAGGAAGGUGCAAAUGAGCAUCUGAAGUAAGCUCUUGGACAAGGGUUGUCUCUGGUUACUUUCUGACCAUACUUUCUCCACUGAUAACCAUCCUUUACAAUCUGCAAAUAAGUUCACAUUGCUUUAUCUCAUUAGUAUCGGCGUGCUGAAGACAUAAUUAAGUAUGGAAAUGAAGAUAAAAGGUUUAUAUAACAAGGCUUUAGAAGACCAGCUGACCAAGUUGUAGGAAGGUGAGAAGAAAAUCAAGGAAAGAGGUAAAUAU